GCCCCUGUUGUCUAAUGGCUAUGACGUCAGACUUCUACGUUAAUUACGUAAAUCUACGAAUCUGGAGGUUGCGGGUUCGAGUCCCGCCAGGGGUU